GGGAUAUCCCAGCGGAUGUAAUAUUCCUACAGCAGAAAUGUUUCACAACCUCGACUGCAGGGAGCUGAAGACGUGACAUAUUCAGACAGAGACCAUAAUACAUAGACUGUUAUAUGGUCUCUGAUUCAGGUGUGAAGAAUCAAGAACAAAUUAAAUGACAGGAGUUUUGCAACAGUGAACAUUGUGAAGUGGAAGAUAAGACAUUUGAAAGGUACCUGGAUUUCACAAUCUGACACCAGCUACAUUUAAGAAGAUCUUGCUCACACAAUUCAGACAAGGGACUCGCCGGAUGAUGAACAGUACUCCUGAUAACAACCAACAGAUUCACCUCAGAAAGUGAUGAUUCUGAAUGAAUAAUGCCACAUCAGUGUUACUGUAGGUGGUUUUAUUAUGACACUAAUGAAGUCUGAAUGAAUUUAUGCCAAAGCACUGUGACUAUGUCCAGUUUGUGUACACCGAUGCUGACUAUACAAAUCUGAAUGACUUUUGUGGUUUACUGCAGAAACAUAAUUGACUUUAGAUUUUUUUCUUCAAUAAAAUUCUUCUGAGAUUUGACUAAUUUGUUUAUUUAGAAAAUGGCAUUGAAGCAUCUGUUCUGUAAGGCCUUGCAAACACCACUGGAGUUCCUCUUCUUGCUUGAUCAAUUUUCAAUUUGUGAUAUGUACCAAUGAAAUGCCAUAUAAUCAAUAAAUAAGAUUUUUUUCCAAAAACAUGAUUUGUUUUGCUUCAUUAGCAUAAAGACAUAUAAUACUGAUCAGCCAUAACAUAGGUGCUGAACAAAUAUAAAAUGUACUAAUGCCCUGAAUGUUUUCCUACUAUAAAUACAGCUCACUUAACAAAAGUUGUAGUUCCACCUUAGUAGACAAAUGACAUUGGUAUUUUUUCUGUACUUUAUUUAGGUGUUUUCUAUGGAUGCCAUUAGUCUUAUGCACCAAUUUGGGACAAUUGUAUUCUGUUUUAUAUUCCCAUGAAACUACACUGUCCCGAUAUAACAAGUACUGAUACCGUUCCAAACUAAUCUGUUAAUCUCACCAGGGCCAAAUGCCAAAGCACAUAGCCAAUGACUUUCCAUUUUUUUCUGAGUGAGAAUGCUGUUUUGCCACUUUUAGCAAUAUUGCAACAAUAUCAUGGUGGGGGACACCAGCAAUAAGCUUCACACAUUGGACCCAUGUCGCGAAACAACUUGUGAACAAUGCAUGCCCACAUAUCUCAGUUUGAGGAGGAUAUUUACAACUAAAAUAACACAGAAUAUUACAACAGGUACCUGUAAUGCACAGGCUAACAUUAUUUACCAGAAGCAAGUCAUGAAGAAAAUUUGCAUCCGGAUACCUUCCGGAAACCUUCCGGAAACCUUCCAGAUGCCUUCAACAACCUUCAAAUUGCUUGGUAUUUUCAAGUUAAUUUUUUUAUGUGUUUCACACUUAAGUGAACAAAAUGCACCCCCCAAAUUUUGACAUUUU